rnacentral:rRNA from 1 species
UACGAGGGGGGCGAGCGUUGUUCGGAAUCACUGGGCGUAAAGAGUGCGUAGGCGGUGGUGCAAGAUAGGAGUGAAAGCCCCAGGCUCAACUUGGGAAUUGCUCUUAGAACUACACUACUCGAAUUCGGGAGAGGAUAGCGGAAUUGUCAGUGUAGCAGUGAAAUGCGUAGAUAUUGGGAGGAACACCAGUGGCGUAAGCGGCUAUCUGGACCGACAUUGACGCUGAGGCACGAAAGCGUGGGGAUCAAACAGG